GGUUUGGUUCAUUCAUAAUCUACAUUUUCCAUGAACUUUUUGAAGUAUGUGGUUUUUUUGCCCUCUAGAGUUGUUUGGUCAUGGUGUGAUCUAAGAGCAGGGUUUAUUUCAUUCCAGUGUAUCCUAGUCGAACACAUCUUACAGAAGAUGCAGUCACAGUGAGAAGGCGUUUGCUGAUUUCAUGGCUGUACAAACAUCGCAGGGUGCUCUUACACAAACUUCAGUGGUGCAGGCCAGUCACUCUGUGUGUGAGAGACCCAGGAAACAGGAGAGGCAUGAGGUGCACCUGGCAGACUGUUUUACAGUCAACUUUGGUUUUAUGAGCAAAAGGAGUACACUCUAAAGCAAAGACAAAAAGUAUAGUAAAUAAACCAGGAACAGAGCGGUUUAUCAUUAUCUAGUACUAAAUACUCUACCUAGCUGUACUGCUUUGCUCUUAGGACUGGCAGUGUUUUCACCAGCAUCACACAAACAUGGCAGUGAUGCUUCUUACUAUGAUGUCACAAUGGUUGUGAUGUCACUAGGUGACAGGAACUUGCCAGGUCCCUUGUAGCCUUCUGGGACCAGUAUCAUAUAUUUGCUCUAUUGUUGACUGAAACACUGCUGUGCAUACAUGACUAUAUUUUAUAAAACACUCAGAUUACUAUCUAAAUCAACUGUCUACUUACUUUUAAGAGCUAUUAAUGAAUGAUAUAGCGACCUGACCAGCAGCCUGAACUGCAGGUCCCUGGACCCCCUCAGAGCACCACCAAAUAGGCUGAAGGAAUCAGCUAAGACUCCAUCUGCUAACCCUGCAAAGAUCUUUGCCGGAAAAAUGGGAGACACGAGGGCUUCCAGGGCUGGAUCCAGAAGACUGUCCUCACAGAAAGCCAGAGACACAGCCAGCCACUCUGCUCACGGAGUGGACAGGAAGAGGAGGUUUGCAGGAAAGGAAAAGGUUGGGUUUCGGCAACAUGAGCCCAAUUACAUAAACUGAUUCAAAGUGUAUCUUUGUCAAAGACCACACUUCAUCCUUGGCCACGCAGGAUCCUAGAAACUCCACCAACUCCUGCCAGGGAGGGCUCCUGUCUACCCUUAUUCAUUCCUAAGACUCCCUCUUGAUUUUAGGCUAACACCAGGCUUCUCCUGAUUUUAAACCAUAGUUGGGCUCCUAAGCAGUCACGUGCUCCUUUGAAUUUUUGUAAUUUACGCCAUUUUCCACGCACUAGCAGAGCUUCCUAUUAAAAGGUCUCUGGAAUCAA